rnacentral:lncRNA from 1 species
UUGAAGUAGAAGAUGAAAGCCACAUUGGUGAGCCAUGCGGUUAGAUAUAAUCAGAUGUUACAUAUUAAAAUCAAGUGAUCGGAAGUGCUAGCUUGUGUAUUGAGUUGUUAAAAAUUUGAUAGUUUAAAUAAUAAAAAAAAUGAAUAUUUUAUGCAUAAGGUAGGCACUUUCAAAUUAUAUGAUUUUUUGAUGUGUAAGAGGUUCAAAAAUAGUAAAUCACAUCCAACAAUUUAGAUCACUACAGUAAAAUCUUAUCCAAUUCAAAAUAAACAUAUAACUUUAUAAAUAUUACAUCAUAUGUGUGCAUGUGUGUCUACACACAUACAUAAAUAUAUAUAUACAUACAUAUGUAAAUGGAUAUAACACAGUUCAUCAGUUGUUUUCUACGGGCUUCAUUUUAUUUUUUUGAUCGUAUUCUAAUGAGGUUACG